GUGUGAGGUGGUUUUAUUUGGGUUCCAGCACAUAUGGGUGUGGAGGGCAAUGAGGAAGCAGAUAGCUUGGCACAAAGAGCAACCAAGGAGGAAAGAAUACAAUUUGAUUUACCACAUGGAAAGACAGAUUAUGACUCUGUCUUUAACAAACUAGUCAAAGAAAUAUGGCAGAACAAAAGAAGAGGGGGACUGAUUUUGCUAUUCAAGGUAAAAUGGGAAAAGUAAGAAGGCACUUCGGUGGUGCAAGAAGAGACUCAAUUGUUGUAACCUGGCUAAGACUCAGACACUGCAGUCUGAAAAGUGGACUGGCUUUGAUUGGGAAGCACAGAGAUAGGAACUGUGAGUGUGGUGAACUAGAAACUGAGAAAUGUUCCUAAGUGUAAGCUCUACUCAUGCCAACAGAAGAAACAUUAGAGACUAGGAGCAGCUGGACGAACUGUUUUUAAUCUUUGCUUACUACUUAACACGGAGGAGUGGACAAAUAUGAAGAAACUUCUGAACUUACUCAUGACCACAGGACUGCAUAAGAAAAUAUCGAGGAUUCUCUAAGGACUAUGAAUAACAUCCAGUAGGUGGCAGCAAUACGCCAGUGAUGAGUCUCGUCCGCCUAAUUCAAUGAGGAAGAAGAAAGUAACUCAGUGUUUCUGCCGGAACUUCACAGUGUGACACCCGGCGGAUGUAAACAAAGAAGCAUGAGCAGAGUUAGCUUCACUACUGUGUGGAGUGAGCUCUAAAACGGCCGUAUUAUAGUAUGAAUGAGAAAUAUCAGAGCGUUAAAGUAACGAUGUGUUCAGUUGAGUAUCUGAGAGAGUUGAUCAGCGACAGACUAGCUGCUGCUGCUGGAGAAAUAUUCACAGAGUUUGAAAAAACCAUCGUCCAGUACCAGGAGGAGAUCGAUCGUCAGCGCAGACUGCUGGAUGUCAUCUGGAAACCACACAUCCCCUUACAGCUCAUAGAGCUCCCACAGUCUUAUGUCUGUGAGAAUGAGAAGACUGUCGUUGACCAUCAGCCCCAUGACCAGGACAGAAACUCCAUGGUGGACCAUGAGGACCCAGAGCCUCUACGGAUUAAAUACCAGCAGGAGAAACUCUGCACCAGUGAGGAGGAAGGGCAACCAAAACCAAACAGUGAUCAGCUCCUGUUUCACAUCUCUUGUGUAGCUGAGAGCCCAGAUCAGGAAGGAAGCAAGGAUGUAGACUCAGGAUCAACUAGAUGUAUAGAGCAGAAACCAAGACAUCAGAGUAACAGCAGUCACAGUAAUGAUGUAGACAAUGCUCCAACGUCAGAGAGACAGUGUGAUAAUGACAAGGCAAGAAAAUCUGCAACAUGCGAGUUCUGUGGAAAAGCUUUUAGGUAUAAGUCAGAUUUAGCCACACAUCACAGAACCCACACAGGUGAGAAGCCAUAUUCUUGUGACACCUGUGCUAAAAGCUUCAGGCAACGGGCCCAUUUGACUGCCCACAUGAGGCGUCACAUGGGUUUGAAGCCGUAUCCUUGUAAAAUCUGAGGAAAAAGAUUUUCUGGCACAUUAGCACAUUAUAAACACUUGGCAGUUCACAAGGAGGAGAAAUAAUUUUCUUAUGGAAUAUGUGGGGAAUGUUUCUGUCUUUCACAUCGAUUAAAAGCCCACAUGAGAAUCCACACGUGAGAAGUCGUGAUCCUGAAACUUCUGUGGAAAAAAAUAAUGUGGGAACUUAGUUUAAAACAACAUGCAAGAAUUGGUACAGUUUAAACAUAGGUCUUUGAGAUUUACAGCAUGUUUAGACUGUACUUCAACAACAAUUGUGAGGAAGUAUGUCAGCAAUCCUUGAUGAUUAGACCAGAUGGAGUCUGGACUGUGGUGGUAAUGCAGUAUUUAGAAGAACCAAGCUGAGCAUAUGAAUGGACUGAAAUGGAGCAACACUACCAAUGAGCUCUUUGAUACUGGUUCAGGUGAAGUCUCGAGAUGGGUUGAGAGGGGGGCGUAUUGAUCUGACAUCUGACAGCAGAUAAAUGCUCCAUAUUUUAAGCCUUCAUUUGAGAUUAAAUGUGAAACAGACGAUGCUGCUAGUUUUGCCUUUUGUGGAUGAAUGUUGUUUUGUUGUAAAUUUCAAUGUCUUUGUGUGACUUGAAAGCUUCACAGUAUGGUUUUCAAAAUAAAGAGUUGAUGUUGAAAAACUCUUAA